UACGUAGGGUGCUAGCGUUGUUCGGAAUCAUUGGGCGUAAAGCGCGUGUAGGCGGUUAGUUAAGUCGGGUGUGAAAUCCCUGGGCUCAACCGAGGAAGUGCAUCCGAAACUAAUUAGCUAGAGAAUGGUAGAGGGAGGUGGAAUUCCGUGUGUAGAGGUGAAAUUCGUAGAUAUACGGAGGAAUACCGGUGGCGAAGGCGGCUACCUGGACCGAUAUUGACGCUGAGACGCGAAAGCGUGGGGAGCAAACAGG
rnacentral:rRNA from 1 species